rnacentral:rRNA from 1 species
GAGCAAACAGGAUUAGAUACCCUGGUAGUCCACGCUGUAAACGAUGUCGAUUUGGAGGUUGUUCCCUUGAGGAGUGGCUUCCGGAGCUAACGCGUUAAAUCGACCGCCUGGGGAGUACGGCCGCAAGGUUAAAACUCAAAUGAAUUGACGGGGGCCCGCACAAGCGGUGGAGCAUGUGGUUUAAUUCGAUGCAACGCGAAGAACCUUACCUACUCUUGACAUCCAGAGAAUUUAGCAGAGAUGCUUUAGUGCCUUCGGGAACUCUGAGACAGGUGCUGCAUGGCUGUCGUCAGCUCGUGUUGUGAAAUGUUGGGUUAAGUCCCGCAACGAGCGCAACCCUUAUCCUUUGUUGCCAGCACAUUAUGGUGGGAACUCAAAGGAGACUGCCGGUGAUAAACCGGAGGAAGGCGGGGAUGACGUCAAGUCAUCAUGGCCCUUACGAGUAGGGCUACACACGUGCUACAAUGGCGUAUACAAAGAGAAGCGACCUCGCGAGAGCAAGCGGAACUCAUAAAGUACGUCGUAGUCCGGAUUGGAGUCUGCAACUCGACUCCAUGAAGUCGGAAUCGCUAGUAAUCGUAGAUCAGAAUGCUACGGUGAAUACGUUCCCGGGCCUUGUACACACCGCCCGUCACACCAUGGGAGUGGGUUGCAAAAGAAGUAGGUAGCUUAACCUUCGGGAGGGCGCUUACCACUUUGUGAUUCAUGACUGGGGUGAAGUCGUAACAAGGUAACCA